UUUAAUUUGAUGCUAAAUAGAUAAAACAUUAUGUGAUUAUGCAUCAUGACCACCAUUGAAUUUGAUGAGAUAAAUUUGGACUCAUCAAGCAAUCCAUCACAUCAGAACACCACCGCUUAUUUAUAUUUUGGGGCAUGGGCAUUGGCAAGAUAAGAGCUUAAAACACAUUUUGGUUUAUUAAGAGCUUAAGAUGAGAUGUAUAUAAAAUGAGAAAUAAAUUCGUUUGGCAGCUGGAAUGUAGUUGUUGUCAGGAAUCAAAAUCACUUUUGUUCACUCACUCAUUCAUUCAUUCCUCUCACAAAGAGGAUUCGAGAAGAGAAUGGUAAUUAAGUAACAAACAACAUCAACAUGAACCGUUCAAUUCACCUGCCACUUCCUCUUUAAAUAAAUUCAUCUGCCACUUGCUUUGCUUCAAUGCUUCAACGAGCCCACUCAAAUUACAAAAGAAAGAUCAACUUCGAUCAAGUGAAAAUUUAAUCGAUGACUAUGACAUUUUCAUCGAUGACUAUGACAUUUUCAACUUUACAUCUCGAAGACAGAUAUUUCAGACAUCUCAAUUUUCUCUUAUUUGUAGACUUUGCCACUUUUAUAAAAAUAUUUUUCUAUUUUAUGCUUUUAAUCUAAAUAUUGUAAAUUUAUUCACAAAUUCAUCUUUUUUUAUUUUAUUUUAACACCUGAAUUGUAAUGUUCGUAAUCAAUGUAAUUUUUAUAAUUUAAAUGAAUGAAUAUCAUUUUGCGUACUUGUGUACAUAUGUUUUGAAAGAAAA